AUGCCUGAACUGUCCAAAGAAACUGUAAAAACACCAGAGCGUUUAUCAGCUAUUUCUACUGUUGGCUUAAUAUUUGACCUCUUCAAGUCUUCUCAACACCUGAAAAGUGUGUUUAUGUCAAUCUUUGGAUCAAGAAAGAGUCGAGGCUGAAGACAUAAUCAUGGAUACAGGAGCAAUCUGUGAAGCAUGCAGGAUUGUUCCCCCACCAUGGAUGGAAGCCAGGCCCCUUGCAGUGGAAGACUGAAGUCUUAACUACUGGACCUCCAAGGCAGCAGAAUGUUGCUGAGAUAAUUAUGAAAGUCUACAUUUUAUAGAGGGUGAGUGUGGAGAG